rnacentral:rRNA from 1 species
UACGUAGGGUGCGAGCGUUGUCCGGAAUUACUGGGCGUAAAGAGCUCGUAGGUGGUCUGUCGCGUCAUUUGUGAAAGCCCGGGGCUUAACUCCGGGUUGGCAGGUGAUACGGGCAUGACUGGAGUACUGUAGGGGAGACUGGAAUUCCUGGUGUAGCGGUGAAAUGCGCAGAUAUCAGGAGGAACACCGGUGGCGAAGGCGGGUCUCUGGGCAGUAACUGACGCUGAGGAGCGAAAGCAUGGGUA